rnacentral:rRNA from 1 species
AUGCAUUGGUAUGCAUGCUGGAAGUCAUACAUUCCAAAAAAUAUAGGCAGGAUGGGAUUCUGUGAUAUCUAUAGUUUCAAUUUAGCAAUGUUUGCAAAACAUGUUUUGUGCCUAGUUGAAGAUCCAGACUCUAUUUGUGCUCAGGUUUUGCGUGCAAAGUACUAUCCCCAUGGUGACAUCCUACAAGCAUGGCCAGAAAAUGGCUCCUCAUUCAUGUGGCAGAGCCUUGUUGUCAUCAUCCAGACCUUCAAACGUGGCUAUAUCUGGCAUAUCUGA